rnacentral:rRNA from 1 species
CCCCGUCAAUUCCUUUGAGUUUUAGCCUUGCGGCCGUACUCCCCAGGCGGGAUACUUAUCGCGUUAGCUUCGGCACAGGGGGGGUCGAUACCCCCAAUACCUAGUAUCCAUCGUUUAGGGCAUGGACUACCCGGGUAUCUAAUCCGGUUUGCUCCCCAUGCUUUCGCGCCUCAGUGUCAGGAACAGCCCAGAAAGUCGCUUUCGCCACUGGUGUUCCUCCCGGUAUUACGCAUUCCACCACUCCUCCGGGAAUUCCACUUUCCUCUACUGCCCUCAAGCCUGCCAGUAUCUCAUGACCCCUCCCAGUUGAGCCGGGAGAUUUCACACAAGACUUAACGGGCCACCUACUCGCCCUUUACGCCCAGUAAAUCCGAACAACGCUUGCACCCUCCGUAUUACCGCGGCUGCUGGCACGGAGUUAGCCGGUGCUUCCUUUGGAGGUACCGUCAAACGUGCGGGCUAUUCACCCGCACGCAUUCUUCCCCUCGACAGAAGUUUACGACCCGAAGGCCUUCAUCCUUCACGCGGCGUCGCUGCGUCAGG